UUGCUUCGGCAGUAAAUAUACUAAAAUUGGAACGAUGCAGAGAAGAUUAGCAUGGCCCCUGCGCAAGGAUGACACGCAAAAUCGUGAAGCGUUCCACAAUUUU
rnacentral:snRNA from 1 species